rnacentral:rRNA from 1 species
CGAACGGGUGAGUAACGCGUGAGGAACCUGCCUCAAAGAGGGGGACAACAGUUGGAAACGACUGCUAAUACCGCAUAAGCCCACAGGUCGGCAUCGACCAGAGGGAAAAGGAGCAAUCCGCUUUGAGACGGCCUCGCGUCCGAUUAGCUAGUUGGUGAGGUAAUGGCCCACCAAGGCAACGAUCGGUAGCCGGACUGAGAGGUUGAACGGCCACAUUGGGACUGAGACACGGCCCAG